rnacentral:rRNA from 1 species
AGUGUAGGCGGCUACGUAAGUCGGAUGUGAAAGCCCUGGGCUCAACCUGGGAAUUGCAUUCGAUACUGCGUAGCUAGAGUUUGACAGAGGUAAGUGGAAUUCCGGGUGUAGCGGUGAAGUGCGUAGAUAUCCGGAGGAACAUCAGUGGCGAAGGCGGCUUACUGGAUCAAAACUGACGCUGAGGCUCGAAAGCGUGGGGAGCAAACAGGAUUAGAUACCCUGGUAGUCC